rnacentral:misc_RNA from 1 species
AAGGUCGUAACAAGGUUUCCCGUAGGUGAACCUGCGGAAGGAUCAUUAAAAAGUGAUUGGUUAUACAUUUCAUGUAUCAACUGCAUUAACCCAUUCCGAGUACCUUGCCUGUUGCUUCCAUGGGGUCCUGACCUAGGUCACUCUUGUGAUGUGAAAUCCCAAGAGAGGUCCCCCAAUUGGGAAGGUAAUCAUUAAAUUUGCAUGUAUCCAAUGUCUUCUGUCUGAACUGUUUAAAAGCAAAUUGUUAAAAU